GACAGACAAGAGUAAAAUCGAAGGGGCAAGACGUGAAGAGAUUGUCAGGGAAGUUCAACUAACCUUUGGCGGAAGGCAUGAAGAAUCCGUGAUCCUUGUAUUGGCGGCUCUGCGUAAUUCCGGUUUGUCCAUGGGGUGCUGGCGUUGGCGUUGGAAUUCUGGAUACUGAUCAGCAGAGAUAGCGUUGUGGCUGGGUCCGCGAAUCGGUGGAUGGCGCAAGCUGGCUAGGUCACGAAACUUAUGGAUAUGGCGCUUGGCUUCAGUCUAUGGAAUGAUGGAAACUGGCUGCAGUCCGUGGAAUGGCGGGAACAACGCUUAGAACUUCGGCUACCAGAUAGUGAAGAUGGAGCCGGCUAGGUCGCAGAAUGGGAAGAGAUAGUGCGACUUUGAUCACAGAGUGCUGGAGUCAUGGCGCUGCUUGCUAGGCUGUGGAGUGGGCGGAGAUGUCGCUGCUUUUCUGGUGGAGCGCGUGGAGAUUGCGCUGCUUUGAGCAGUGAAGAAGGCGCUCCUUUGGCUAGGUCACGGAAUGGCAGGGAGAGCGCCUGGAUGGCAUUGCGGGUCGGGUUGCCUUCUGUGCAUGACCCGAAAUAAGAAACCUUCUUCAACUCAAACUUCAAAAUACAAUGUAUAUAAAAGGCGUUGUCCACCCUUUUAUUUUCGUAUCAUUGGCUUUAUCUCUGUAGCAGCAAGCCUCUUUCCAUCAGCAGUCCAGAUUGCCCAUGCAGACAUAAUGUAAAUUUUUUUUUAGUGCACAAUGGGAUCUUCCGGUGAUGAUCAUAACUCUGACUCUUCGGAGAAUUUUUUUGAAGUCGACGAACCCAUGUUUUCUUCACAUGAGGAGAUAUUAAACUAAAUCAACCCUUUGUUCCAUGGAGCCGGCCGGAUUAUACAAGGCAUGUCUCCCACCCAUCUACGCAUCGUGCGAGUGUGUGCUCAGGCUUUCAUGGCUUUGAUGGACAUAGAGGAGAAGUGAAUACAUGAUGAAGCAUCCCAGAAAGUCGGGAAAUAUCAUUGUGACGAAGAUUCUCCACAUCCCAUUAUCAGAGCUGAGCGAUUCGCUUCUCGGUUGAAAUGGCGAAGGACUGAGCCUGAGAAACUUCUGGGCGAGAGCCAGUUUGAUUACCCUGUCCAUAAUGGUAUCGUAAUCCUUGAUUCUGACGUGACUGAAUUGGAACAUCCUCAAGAGUUAUUGGAAAAGUUCCGUAGGAAGAUGUUGACACGGCUUACGAGACUGAGGCAACUUACGGAGUGGGCGCCGUAACUGCUGCUGGGGAAGUUGGAGCGAUCACUGGGGAUGUUUUCAAGAUAGAUGGGGAGGCGGUGGAAGCAUAUGUUGGAGUCGUUGGAGAAGCUGUGGGGACAUAUGCUUGAACUGCUGUCGAAACGGAUUCCGGGUGGGAUGUUGAAGCAGAUGCUGAAACACCUUCUAGAUGGAAUGUUGAAGCUGAAACAACUUCUGGAUAGGAUGUUGAAGCUGCUGCUGAGAUAACUUCUGGAUGGAAUGUUUGUUGUCGGAGAAGGUGCUGGGGAAAGUGCUUGAAAAAGCUCUGAUGAAGGCGUCAUUGAUCAAGGUGUUUGUCAUUGACAACUGGUUUUCCCAUUUUGCGAUUACCUUCCGUAGAGAAAAACAAUCUUAUCGUAGCUUGUAGAUAUUUUUGAUACUUCAGUUUUUUCUUUUUGUUCGUGCGACUGAUGCAUGUUUCACCAAGUAAUAUUCUUUCAUUUAUGCUGCUUUGAUAAUUUCA